UGGGGAAUAUUGCACAAUGGGCGAAAGCCUGAUGCAGCAACGCCGCGUGAGUGAUGAAGGUCUUCGGAUUGUAAAGCUCUGUCUUUUGGGACGAUAAUGACGGUACCAAAGGAGGAAGCCACGGCUAACUACGUGCCAGCAGCCGCGGUAAUACGUAGGUGGCGAGCGUUGUCCGGAUUUACUGGGCGUAAAGGGUGCGUAGGCGGAUGUUUAAGUGAGAUGUGAAAUACCCGGGCUUAACUUGGGUGCUGCAUUUCAAACUGGAUAUCUAGAGUGCAGGAGAGGAGAAUGGAAUUCCUAGCGUAGCGGUGAAAUGCGUAGAGAUUAGGAAGAACACCAGUGGCGAAGGCGAUUCUCUGGACUGUAACUGACGCUGAGGCACGAAAGCGUGGGUAGCAAACAGGAUUAGAU
rnacentral:rRNA from 1 species